ACAUCCAAAACUUUUUUGCCUAUUUCGGUAGGCAAAAAUACACACCAAAUUAGUUGAAUUUAGACUGCAGUAAUCAAAUUUCUUUAACCACACUAAAAGACACAAAUUUAUCUACUAGGGAGUGCAUCCCUCAGCAGAAUAAAAAAA
rnacentral:misc_RNA from 1 species